GACGAACGCUGGCGGCGUGCUUAACACAUGCAAGUCGAACGGAAAGGCCCUGCUUUUGUGGGGUUCUCGAGUGGCGAACGGGUGAGUAACACGUGAGUAACCUGCCCUUGACUUUGGGAUAACUUCAGGAAACUGGGGCUAAUACCGGAUAGGAGCUCCUGCUGCAUGGUGUGGGUUGGAAAGAUUCGGCGGUUGGGGAUGGACUCGCGGGUUAUCAGCUUGUUUGGGGGGUAGUGGUUGACCAGGGCUUUGACGGGUAGGCGGCCUGGGAGGGUGACCGGGCACAUGGGGCCUGCGAUACGGCCCAGACUCCUACGUGAGGCAGCAGUGGGGAAUAUUGCACAAUGGGCGGAAGCCUGAUGCAGCAACGCCGCGUGCGGGAUGCUGGCCUUCGGGUUGUAAACCGCUUUCGCCUGAGACGAAGCGUGCGUGACGGUAAUGGGUAAAGAAGCACCGGCUAACUACGUG
rnacentral:rRNA from 1 species